AACCGCCGAGUACGGAACCGUACGCUCGGUGGUGUGAGAGGACGAAUAAUCAAAUAAUGAUUAUUCUCCUACUCGAU
rnacentral:ncRNA from 1 species